AAAAACUCCGGUGGUAUACGAUGGAUCCGCGUCUGAUUAGCUGGUUGGCGGGGUAACAGCCCACCAAGGCGACGAUCAGUAGCCGGCCUGAGAGGGUGAACGGCCACAUUGGGACUGAGACACGGCCCAAACUCCUACGGGAGGCAGCAGUGGGGAAUAUUGCACAAUGGGGGAAACCCUGAUGCAGCGACGCCGCGUGAGUGAAGAAGUAUUUCGGUAUGUAAAGCUCUAUCAGCAGGGGAGAAAAUGACGGUACCUGACUAAGAAGCCCCGGCUAACUACGUGCCAGCAGCCGCGGUAAUACGUAGGGGGCAAGCGUUAUCCGGAUUUACUGGGUGUAAAGGGAGCGUAGACGGCAGCGCAAGUCUGAAGUGAAAUCCCAUGGCUUAACCAUGGAACUGCUUUGGAAACUGUGCAGCUGGAGUGCAGGAGAGGUAAGCGGAAUUCCUAGUGUAGCGGUGAAAUGCGUAGAUAUUAGGAGGAACACCAGUGGCGAAGGCGGCUUACUGGACUGUAACUGACGUUGAGGCUCGAAAGCGUGGGGAGCAAACAGGAUUAGAUACCCUGGUAGUCCACGCCGUAAACGAUGAUUACUAGGUGUUGGGGGACCAAGGUCCUUCG
rnacentral:rRNA from 1 species